UACGUAGGGCGCAAGCGUUAUCCGGAAUUAUUGGGCGUAAAGAGCUCGUAGGCGGUUUGUCGCGUCUGCCGUGAAAGUCCGGGGCUCAACUCCGGAUCUGCGGUGGGUACGGGCAGACUAGAGUGAUGUAGGGGAGACUGGAAUUCCUGGUGUAGCGGUGAAAUGCGCAGAUAUCAGGAGGAACACCGGUGGCGAAGGCGGCUAUCUGGACAGAGUCUGACGCUGAGGCGCGAAAGCUAGGGGAGCAAACAGG
rnacentral:rRNA from 1 species